rnacentral:tRNA from 1 species
GCAUCCGUAGCUCAGCUGGAUAGAGUACUCGGCUACGAACCGAGCGGUCGGAGGUUCGAAUCCUCCCGGAUCGCACCC